rnacentral:rRNA from 1 species
GACGUAGGGCGCGAGCGUUGUCCGGAUUUAUUGGGCGUAAAGAGCUCGUAGGCGGCUUGUUGCGUCGACUGUGAAAGCCCGUGGCUUAACCGCGUGGUCUGCAGUCGAUACGGGCAGGCUAGAGUUCGGUAGGGGAGACUGGAAUUCCUGGUGUAGCGGUGAAAUGCGCAGAUAUCAGGAGGGACACCGGUGGCGAAGGCGGGUCUCUGGGACGGUACUGACGCUGAGACGCGAAAGCGUGGGGGAGCGAACAGG